rnacentral:rRNA from 1 species
GAUGAACGCUAGCGACAGGCUUAACACAUGCAAGUCGAACGGACUCAUAUUGAAACCUAGUGAUUUAUGAGUUAGUGGCGGACGGGUGAGUAACGCGUGGAUAACCUGCCGUAUACCGGGGGAUAACACUUAGAAAUAGGUGCUAAUACCGCAUAAGCGCACGGCUCCGCAUGGGGCAGUGUGAAAAACUCCGGUGGUAUACGAUGGAUCCGCGUCUGAUUAGCUAGUUGGCGGGGUAACGGCCCACCAAGGCAGCGAUCAGUAGCCGGCCUGAGAGGGUGGACGGCCACAUUGGGACUGAGACACGGCCCAA